UGCCAGCCGCCGCGGUAAUACGAAGGGGGCGAGCGUUGUUCGGAAUUACUGGGCGUAAAGGGCGCGUAGGCGGUUUAUUAAGUCAGAUGUGAAAGCCCCGGGCUUAGCCUGGGAACUGCAUUUGAAACUGGUCAACUAGAGUAUGGUAGAGGAAAGUGGAAUUUCUGGUGUAGCGGUGAAAUUCGUAGAUAUUGGGAAGAACACCAGUGGCGAAAGCGGCUACCUGGUCCGAUUUUGACGCUGAGGCGCGAAAGCGUGGGGAGCAAACAGGAUUAGAUA
rnacentral:rRNA from 1 species